CUCACACACUUUUUUUCUUAGACGACACUCUCUUUGACCUCCUGAGAACCUCAGGCCUCCUCGGUCUGUCACGGUUUUACCUAAGCCUUAUCUAAUCCACUACUCCUGUCACAGGUACUUACUAGAUCUCACAUGUUUUGCUUCCUGCAAGUAAACUAGAGAUGUUUCCAUCUUUCUCAUACAUACUUCAGGUCCUUCUCGU